rnacentral:rRNA from 1 species
GUCACUGUAGAGGGGUAGAAUUUCAGGUGUAGCGGUGAAAUGCGUAGAGAUCUGAGGAAUCCGGUGGCGAAGGCGGCCCCCUGGACAGAGUACUGACACUCAUAUGCGAAAGCGUGGGGAGCAAACAGGAUUGAUCCCUGGUAGUCCACGCCGUAAACGAUGUCUACUUGGAGGUUGUGGCCUUGAGCCGUGGCUUUCG